rnacentral:rRNA from 1 species
GAGGAAUAUUGGUCAAUGGGCGAGAGCCUGAACCAGCCAAGUAGCGUGAAGGAUGAAGGCUCUAUGGGUCGUAAACUUCUUUUAUAUGGGAAUAAAGUUUUCCACGUGUGGAAUUUUGUAUGUACCAUAUGAAUAAGGAUCGGCUAACUCCGUGCCAGCAGCCGCGGUAAUACGGAGGAUCCGAGCGUUAUCCGGAUUUAUUGGGUUUAAAGGGAGCGUAGGUGGAUUGUUAAGUCAGUUGUGAAAGUUUGCGGCUCAACCGUAAAAUUGCAGUUGAAACUGGCAGUCUUGAGUACAGUAGAGGUGGGCGGAAUUCGUGGUGUAGCGGUGAAAUGCUUAGAUAUCACGAAGAACUCCGAUUGCGAAGGCAGCUCACUAGACUGUCACUGACACUGAUGCUCGAAAGUGUGGGUAUCAAAC